UACGGAGGGUGCGAGCGUUGUUCGGAAUCAUUGGGCGUAAAGGGUGCGUAGGCGGCCCUGUAAGUCAGUGCUGAAAUAUCCCAGCUUAACUGGGAGGGUGGCAUUGAUACUGCGGGGCUAGAGUACAGAUGAGGUAGGCGGAAUUGACGGUGUAGCGGUGAAAUGCUUAGAUAUCGUCAAGAACACCUAUAGCGAAGGCAGCUUACUAGGCUGUAACUGACGCUGAGGCACGAAAGUGUGGGGAUCAAACAGG
rnacentral:rRNA from 1 species